CACGGUCUGAGCACUGCUACUGUUUCUGCUGUGAGAGUUGAAAACGAGAGAAAAAGGUCAGGUCUUAUUUGAUGCCUGGAAAAUGUGAAGCUCCAGUCCUGGUGUCCAACGGGGUUGACCAGUGAUCCAGUUGAUGGUGAACCUCCCAGUGGAACUUUGAGCCUCCACCACACCAUUCAGUGGAUUCUGUGGUAGGAUUGUGUCAGUCCUACUGACCGACACCAACGAGUACUUAGAUACGCUUCCUUGACUUUGACUACUCCUUUGACUUAUUGACCUGAACUUUGAUUGGAUCCACAAUGAACCAGUUCCACAGGAAUACUUCUAAUAGACAUUUUAUGUUUUUUUUCUCACUUUAUUGGGCCCAUGGGUAUGGUCUUGUAAUUAUGUUGUGCACUGUUCAAAUAGUUGUCUAAAACUAAAAGUCCACAAUAACAACAUAUACCUGUGUCCAGUCGGUAUUGCUAUCACUCCUAGCUCUUACCAACCUAGGUAGCGAUGUGUACAUACUCAGAAGUGGGUUACAAUGGCACUACAAUGGUUUCUAUUAAUACCACGUGGAAACGUUAGGUUAUACAUUUAGCAAGUCAUAAGUAUGUGAACAACGGACAUACCAGUACCACAAAAAAGUUAGAUUUUGCCAAAUAGUUACUUGUAAGGACAAAAACAUGAUUAAACAUGCUUUUUGUUCAUGUUCAGGAACUGGCACCACUUACUAAAUAAUGUUGAAAGGUCAUGGCGUGGGAAAAAAUGCAAACAAAGUUUACAGUGACUUCAACCACAGUGUGCUUAUUAACCUUCAAAACCAUGAUCUUUCCCUAGCCUUAUGCGAAGUGCUUGAGGUUCCUAAACCUAACAACAGACUCCCAUCAGGUCAUGGUAUUAGGGUUGUUCGCUCUGUGCGCCUUCCAACCCCCCCAACCACCUUCUAAUGAGUCUGUUGCAGUUCAGAUGUUUAACACUUAUUUCAGUAAAAAAAAAAAAAAAAAAACAUUGCUUAUGAAGAUAAUCCAGCUGCAAUUAUAUUGUCACCAUAAUGUAAUUUCAAAUCAGUUAAGUAAUACAAGAAUGUAAUUUUGUGGAACUGGAUUUCUGCGGGGCUGCUGGCACUGUUGUAGACUCUCAGUCCUGCUAAUAUGCAAUGGGAGUCGUUUUCUUCUCAUUGGUAGAGUUAGAUUCACUUCUCUGUACCUACCUGUCCAGGUGUUGACACAUGGCAAAUUCCUGUAAAAGUAAAUCUGCAUCAUGAACAACUGUGACCAUUCCCUGGACAGAAAUUUGUGAUUUGUGAGACUAAAUGUAAAAGGAUGACUAUUUUGUGCUUAAAAUGGGAUCUGUUGAUGUUUGCUUUGUAGAGUAGCAGUUGGAAUUAGUAAAAUCCUCUGGCUCCAGCCACUAAUUACAGAGUACAACCUUUUGACUUUGAGAUUUUCUUGGAACUCAAUCUGCUUUUAUGCCCAAAAGACAAAUCAGAACAAAUAGCUUGGCUCCUUCCUAACAGAUGCCCUUGAGCAAGAUAUGCUUUCAACAAAUCUACAGACAGAAACUACUUAAAAGACUAACUCUGCUCAGUAUAUACUGUACAUAAUAAAUGGAAAAAAGUGAUUAUCCAGACUGCAUAACCUAGAGUUGCCCUCCUGUAGCCUUUUGUGCUUAUUGAUUUUGUUCUACAAAACACAACUUCCUGUGUCACUGCUUUUUCAAGCAUAAGCUGGCAGUUGUUUUCAGUAAAGAAACCUGCCAGGCGCAAAUACACUGGCCAUUGGAGAAUUAACCUAUUUCUGGGAAUUUUUUGUGAAAAUGGUAUCCCUAAAAACAUUAUAAAGCUAAAUAUAUUAGAAUGUGUUGUUCAGGAUGUUGACUCGAUUUUAAUGCUCCCAAAUAGUCAAACAUAUCAGAAAUACAAACCUGAUAAUCAGACCAAAUUGGCAUUUCAUUACAUCCCAUUAAUUUGGCUUGACAUUAUGUUCAUGAAAUUUUCUUUCAACACAGAAGCUGCCAAGAGAAGUUAAUGUUUUUCAGGACAGUCAAUGAAAUAUGCAAAUUUAAGAGCUGACACACAUAACCAAUAAAACUGAGUCAAUUUUAGUCGUACUUAUUGUUUUUGCAGCUGUCUUUGUGUUGUCAUUUGUCAUGUAGCUUGGUCACUAGAUACGUUAGCUCUGUACACAAAAUGACAAGCCCAGAAAGAUGUGACUAAACCAACUGGAAACAGACCCAUUUUAAAUGCUAAAUAACCUGGAGAUGUUGAAAGAUAGAUCAUACUGUUUGAAAUAAAUGAAUGUGCAAUUUGUUUACCUUGGCAAAACAAAUGGGCGCACAGUGGCCCACACAAUAAUUCCAUGAGGGACAAGUAGUUAUUUUUUAUUUUCAACCAACAAAAUAAUCAUUGUGUUUUGACCCUGUGCUCCUAUUCCGAUAUACUCAUUCAGUAGAUAAAUUGGUAUGUGAAAUCUCCUGUCCUCAGUUAGCGCCUGCACUUGGAUCCCUUCCUCCCCCUGUCCUGGCUGAUUGGACCAGUGCCCCAACCCUGCACUCUAACCAAGCUGUUCCUAUGAUAAGGCACCUGCUUUAAAGCGCAAACUGUUCUAAGGUGGUAGAUUUACAGUGAGGAGUUCAUCUUUGUGUCUUUUGUGUGUGAUUCUGAUCUACAGGUUGAUUGUGGCUGCACCAGUAAACUUUGCAGCUUUGUAAACUAUUCAGUUACGCAUUUGAAGCUCAUUGAGGCUUUCAGUUUGGGUUUAAUUUCAAGCCAUUUUUGUUAGUAUAGAUGCUUAACCAUCUGAUCAGCUUCAUUCGUAUGCCAUCAGCCUAAAGGUCUUUUUCAAUUUUUUUUGUCUUUUCGAAAUUUCUGUCUUUCUCCAUCCUUACAUUUUUCUGUAUUUUUUGUUCACACACUCGAAUCUGUAAGCGAAAAACCAUAUAAGAUUUCUCAAACUUCUGUAAUUUAAAUGGACAGAUUUUCUCACACUGGCCUUUUCAUUUCACAGUUCUGUUUCAUUCAGUUGUUCCACAGAGAUAGUGCACAAUCGCCUGCAUCACUGAAAAUACAAAUUAGCUAAUGCAGCUAUUUUAAAGUAACCGUGGCACAGUCAAUAGCUGCUUUCUCUUAGAUGAAAAUGUGGGUGGAUAAUCAGCAGGUUGCCAUGCGGAGCGCCUGCUGUGUGUCCCCAGCACAGUGAAUUCUUACUAAGGCUGUGUUCACAAUGCUGCUGGGAGUGUCUUACUCUGAUCUUGCUUUUUCUUUGCCACAAUGUAGACCUGAUGUUUGUAAUCAGGAGGAACAGCAAAAAUAUGCACAAAGUAUAAAUUAGUUCACUUUUGAUUUAAACUAUGUCAGUAUGUACACUACCGGUCAAAAGUUUUAGAACACCCCAAUUUUUCCAGUUUUUUAUUGGAAAUGAUGCAUGUUAAUGUCUCAUUGUCCUCUGAAAUUAUAGCAUAGAACAAAUGAAUUAAAAAAAAUCUAUUUAGAAACCAAAAUGUAUUCUAAACAUUUGAUCAUCAAAGUACCACCUUUGGCAGAUAUAACAGCUGAACACAUUCAUGGCAUUCUUUCCACAAUGGAAAUCAAAUAUUCUUCAGAAAGUUCUUCCAACUCUGUAGCAGAACUUCCCAUAAAUGUGUGGUUCUUGUGGGUUCUUCGCUUUCACUCUUCUGUCCAGUUCAUCCCAAACCAGCUCCAUGGGGUUGAAGUAUGGAGACUGUGCUGCCACACCAUGUUCUCAAGCUUUCCAUCUGGUUCCUUGUUCCUAAGGUAGUUCUGGCAGGGCUUGGACUGAUGUUUUGGGUCAUUAUCUGCUGUAGGAUGAAUCCCUGACCAACUAGAACAUACCAGAGGGUUCUGCAUGGAGCUGCAGAAUGCUGUGGUAGCCGUUUAGGUUCAGGGUUCCUCUCACUCUGUACAAGAACCGACCCUGGAUCCAGCAGAGCAGCCCCAGACCAUCAUACUACCUCCUCCAUGUUUGACAGUUGAUGUCACACACUGAGGAAGAAUCCUUUCUCCUACUGGACGGCUACAAAAAUCCUGCUGCUAUAAUUUUGAUCCAUCUGUCCAUAAUACCUUCUUCCAGUCUUCAGUAGUCCAUUGGCGGUGUUUCAUGGACCUUCCAGACCUCUUCCUGUCAGAGUUUCCUCCAAUUUCUGAACCUUUUGAUGGUGAAGAAAACUGGACUCUCUGACGCCUUGACUUUGCGAUUUCUGUGUAGGAAAGACCUCCAUUUUUAAGUGUUCUGAUGGUCUGUCUCUCUUCUAUUGUUAAUUAUCUUUUCCUCUCCAUUUGUGUAGCAACACACUACUUUCUGCAGUACAAUACUGUUCUAAUAAUGCUCUGGAGGGUUUGGUGCCACGGUGUGUUCCAGCACUACUUUAUGCAGACAGAGGGGCUUGGAAGGAAUCUAGAAAAGCUGGGACACCUUUAGGAUUUGGUGGCACCAACUUUCAAGACUUGAUCAACCUCCGUUGGUGCAGAACAGCUUUAAGUUGUUAACCCAUUUCUUGUUCUCUGAAAAAGGCCUUUUUGUAUAUUUCUGAAAUGUACAUUAUUCUUAAGUUUUGGGUAACUUUACUUUUUCUUUUUAACCUCUGACAGUUCUCCACUUACCUUUGUACCAUUUCAAGCUAUUCAUUGGACUUGAACUACUUGAAUUUCAAUAAAAUAUUGGAAAAAUUGGGGCAUUCUAAAACUUUUGACCGGUAGUGUGUAUAUGUACAGGCUACUAUUAGAUCUAAUUUUGUCUGCAUUAAAUGACAGUAGGUAAAUCAUGAUUUAAUGAUGUAAAAGGCAGACUGGUGGUUGAAAUAUUGAAAUAUGUUGGACUUUAGUCAAGUAGAGAUGGCUCAUACUGUCGCCAAAAAUGUGCUCUUUUAUAUAUUUAUUCCUUACUAGUUCUGUUAGAAUGUUUUCAACAUUUUUGGAAAGUGAAAAUUAUUAGACUCCCUGUAUUUUCUUCCUCAGUCAUAUUUUCCCUUAAGAAAUACUUUAGCCACCCGCUUGGUGGUGCAUCUCUAAAUGAGGAGAGGGAGAAUGUGGUUGGUUGGAAGGAAUUUCUAGGUAACACAAUACUAUAAAAGCAGGACUUUGCUGAGAACAUUUCACACUGCUCUCAAAUUCCUGAUUUAGUUUAAUUAAGUAGAUACAAAAAGGUCACAACUAUUUCCUGCUUUGAUCCCUGCCUUAAACUAAAUGUCAUACCAUUCCAGUGCCGGACAGCAGGCCAGACCUCUGCACUGCCAGAAGAGGCCUCAUUACAGAUGUGUAUUCUGUGUUUGCGUAGGUUGACGGCUUAGAGAUAUGUUUAGUGUCAUCCAAAGGUGUUGUUUUGAACCAUUGGACUGCAGUUCUCUGCAGGUUUGCUGAGACAUACAGUUCAUACCACUUCCUGCAAUUAUAUAAGUAGUAAAAUCCCUGAAAGUCAUCACCACGGAUCAUUGACACUUGUUGCUUUUAAGGUUGAAUGCCGUGAAAGAGAAUGUCUUCCAUAAUAUGUAGAUGGACUGUACCUCAGAUGCAGAUGAUCAGAACUGUCAGUGAGAGGUGAAUCAUUUAGUAGUUGAUAAUUUAAAAAUAUAUUAGGUGGAUUUACAGCAAUUUUAUGUUUAAUUGAUGAACUGACCAACCCCUUAAUCAGUCACUGUAACUGAUUAAAUGGUUAUGUAUCACAGCAAAAGUUAUUAUAAUGCUAUUGUAAUAGUAUGAAUAUGAAUGAGUGGUUAAAAGCUCUGAGUAAAUUGCACAGACAGUCUUUUCUGUGAUGUGUUCAAACUGCUGACUGGGACAAGCUCUUCAGGAGUCAUUAAUAAUCUCACUAAUCUGUACGGUCAGCUCUGCUGACAGUCGUAAAUGCCUGCCGCAGUUUGUCUCUGGUUAAUUGUACAUUAAUGAAUAAACUAAUUUUGAAGGCAAGAUCUUGUUCCUCUGCGAGAUUAAUAAGGCAUGAAGUGUUUGUAACCCAGAGUGCUGUGUCACUGCCUGUUAGACAGAGGCUUCAUGCCUUCAGAACCAAGAACAUGACAGCGUGGUUUUGUUUAUGUAGUGAUCUAGAGGUUAUAGAAACUAAUGUGUGAAAGGCACUAGUUCAAUCUCUGAUCAAAUGGAUGGACCUUGAGAGACUGUGUCCCUCCUACUACAUGAUGUCAGGAAGAAACACUGAGCUUAAGUGUUCUGUAUAAGAGAAGGGACUUCAUAGUAGCAUCUUAUUUAUACAUGCAACUGGCACAGCUAUGCAGAACUGCGAUCCAAAGUGUUUUCCACACCUAAAGUCUACAUUUUUCCAUUGUGCAUGUGACUGCAUUGAUUGUGUCUUGGGCUGUAAGUGCUGCUGUAACACUUCUCAUGCACAGCAGUAGGAAAACUACAGCAGCUUCUGCCUCUGUGCUGCUUUCACUAACGAGGCCCUGGAGCCCUUGAGCCCCUCAGCCUCUGCCUGGCAGGCCCAUUUGGUUAUCCAUUAAUGCCUGACUGCACUGAGAAAUGCCCUCCAUUCUGUCAGUUAACAAAAAAUCUUAACUUUUCAGCUGAUACCAAGCUCAGAAAAUGUGAAAAUAUACUGGACAUAUCCAUCUGCUGAGGGAGAUUGCAUGAUACUAUUGAAAACUACUCAGUCUCAAAUUAACUUCCAGUCUCAAUUGUUAUUAAGCUUCCAUUGAGGACGGCAGAGAGCUGUUGAAUAAUCUAACUGAUCAUAAUCUCAGUUGUAAAACCUGUCGGAAAGUGUGAUAGAUGGUAGAAAAGUUCAUAAAAACACGAGUCAAGUCAGGUCACUGUGAUUUAUAAAGCACGUCUGUAAUGACACCCGUCGAGCCAAAGUGCUUUCCGGCAGAAAGAUAAGAUUAUGGUAAAUUAACUUCACCAGAUUAAAUAUUGAAGUAAAGACCCUAAACUGUUAUUUAUAUGAAUGUGAAUAUACCUGAGUCAUUUAAAUAUGGUUAAUACCCUAGAAAAGUAUAUAAAAUAUAAAUUUACCAGACUAAAUCAAAUAUUAAGGCUAAGACCCUACUGUAAUGUUAAUUAUCAAGCUUAACCUGACAAAUUUAAAACUGCAAAAAUAUGCAUGGAAAACUACAUGUGAAGAUAGAAGCUGAGCUCUGGCACUAAAUCAAAAUCUGAUAAAAUAGCACACAAUACAUGAUGUGCAUUUGAAAGAAGAAAAAAGCUUUCAACACAUUGAAACGAUGCAGAAGUGAAAGGUGAAAAUACAGAGUUUGACACCUUGGAUUCAUGAGGUUGUUAGAACCCUGUCCUUAAAGUUCCUUGCAGAAACAUACAGAACCCCCAAAAACUCCACCAUCAGUGUACAUUUCUGUCCAUUUAUUUGUUUUGGAUCUUUUUCCCAUCAGGCUUUUAUGUGAUUCUGUGUUUACAAGCCUGGAAGACGUGUCUGAGGAUGAAGAGGAAGCCUCAGGAUACCGCCUCCUGUCUGGGAUACCAGUGCUGCCGGGGGCUGGAGAAUCUCUCCUGCCCUGUGGGCAUUAAAGAGAUAUGAGAGAUGAGUGGUAGCCGGCCAGCGAUCCAAGACCUUUCUUGGCAAAGCAGUUUGCCAGGUGCGCUUCAAAAAUGCCCCCGGGGGCCCUGGUGGCACAAUGCAGUGGAAGCAUCAUCUCCAGUCCAUAAAAUAUUUCUCAUCUUGUUUGAUUUCUUCCUUUCCUUUUUUUUUUAUCCCAUUCAAAUGCUGAAAAAACUUGUCCAAGGCUGCCUCUGCAGCACCAGACACAUUUUUGACCCUUUGGCGCUGAUGUAACUUUAUUUUAGAAACAUGUCAAAGUGUCCUAAUUAUCUACUGGAACUAAAAUUUCUAUACAGCUGUUUGGAGACAUGCCGAGUCAGAAUUAAGUUCCUUUUGCUUUACAUAAGUCACUUUGUAAAUUAUACUUAGCUGUGCUAACUCAUAAAAUGUUCAAAAAUAAACAAAGUGAAUAAUAGGAGGUGUUAAUUUAGCACAGCUACAACCAAACUGAUCAUUUUAGUGGUAAAUUCGCAUGCAUGAAAGUGGAAACAAAGUAUUUGAAAUUCGCUCUUUUCUAGCGACAUUGAUCCAGGUGUAAUUUCUGUGAUCGGUUGCUGUGAAUUUAAACUUCAGAUCUGAAUAAUUCAGUAUUUGUGCUUAUGUCAAAUUAAAAACCAGCUGUUUAGAUUUACUAUAAUAUAAAUACAAUCCCCUCAGUAGGAAGUCAAUGCAACAAAAGUCCACCUGUACACCUACAGGCAUUCACGGUGACGUCUAUAAAUGUCACCUGCGCCACAGCUGUUCUCCUCAUACAGCCCCAUGUUAUCAAACUCAGUGCUUCCCUGCCAGGACUAUGCAUUCACUGCGGUGGUUUUGGUGGACUUGAUCAGGUUAACAACAAACAUGUCGAGCCAUACGAGGUGAACAAAUCUGUCUUGGUCUCAUCUGAUGGAGAAAUGUCCUACCAACAUUCAUCAGGCUUCUUUUCAUGCUCUUUAGGAAUGUUUAAUUUUGUAGUUUUGUAUUGGGGACCAAAUAAGGCUUUUUUUUUUUUUUUUUAACUUGUGUUUUGAACACUGCCUAUAGAGAUACAGCAUAGAGGAGGUGCACUGCCCCAGAUGUUAUAGAGACUAAAUCAAAAACCUCGGUACAAAGCUUGAAAUGUGUUUCUAUGGUUUAUAAGGAGAAAUACUCAACAGUUUUGAAAUAUUGAGAGAUGGUGCAAUUUUUGAAUAAUUCACAUUUAAGUGAAGUUGCACAGGGGCAUCCUCACUUCUGCUGUAUCUUUAAUGAUCUCCUGACAUUUCCGAUAGUGACUUUGAGUGAUGUAGCUCAUGAAACAUCAAAUUUGGUACAUGUCAUUGGGAAUACUUCUUUUACAAAUUGACUGAUUUUUCAAGGUUUCACCUAGCACCAUCAUAACAUCAACAUUUUCUCAAUACUUGGUGUCUAAGUACAGUUCCACAGAGCUGAAACACUACACCUGUAGUUGUGCACCUCCAAGCUGUGGGUGCUUCCCACACUGUGAUAAUAUUAUAAAAUUGCUAUCAAUUUGCAUUACAGGAAGUGAAAUGUUUCUGGACCUUGGCCAAAGCAACGAUAUCAAAAUCUCUGCUGCAUGAAUUUUGACCAUUCUUUUCAAAAUCUACCAACUUUAUGGAAGUUCAAACUUUCACAAGACAGAUUAUCUAAAAUCUUGGAGGACAGCUCAAAAGGAUAUAAACGGCGAUGCUCUGUAAAGUCAGGGCUCAGAUCAGAAGAGGGCUAGAAUCACAUCUCACUGCCUCACAGUGAAGCUUCGUGUGUGUUUUUUUUUCCAGCCACAUCCAAAAGUCAUUUCUCUAAUUUGGAGGUCUUAUCCAGUGAGUGGGCAUUGUCGAGGUUCAGUGUUUUCUCCUCAAGGAUGCUGUAACGAGAUGCUGUAGCUGUUUUCGUGCUCAUUAGUUGCUUUACAGGAUCAAAGCUGUGACCUAACCGUUACGCACUAUCUCUGUGUACUCAUCUGCCUUUUCCUCAGUUUAAUCUUUUCGUGCAUGUGUUUAUGUUGUGACGGCAGUUGCAAUGUCUGCAAGAAAAAGAGGCCUCAAGAUUGUUUACUAUAAUGCAAUUAAAAUGUAAAUUAUACCUUCUCCGUGUUUAGAGGACAUCAUUCCACUUUGAUAUUGAUGGAAUGCAUCAAAAACUGCACACAAAGGAGCACAGUUGGAUUAACAUUUUAAUCUCCAGCUUUCUAACAGUUGUCAUACAUUUAUUCGGUCUGCAUAAUUAAAACAAUAAACGGCCAUAAAUUAAACUUUUCUAGAAAUUUUAUUUAUUUAUUUAUUUUUUGAGUUGUGCAGGUUGCUUGAUUGACAAAAUAAAGGAGUGGUGCAUUGGUUUACAAACUCGUUUGAAUAAUGUAAAUAUGUUUCUGUGAGUGAGUUCACAGCAUCUGAGUGGAACGCAGUAUUGAGAUACUCAUGAAGGCAAUGCCAGUGCAUUCUGGUGUAAUUUGAGUGAUAAUGGCAGCAUAUCUCAACAACAGGAUCGACUCCCAUUGCAUGUUGUACAGACAUUUAUGGCUGCCAGAGGAUGAACGCUGCAAAUAAGCCUAGUCAAAUUUAACUUUUUUUUUAGAUAUAAGCAUGCUUGCGCUUCAAAGAAAUUUUACUGCCAGUGUAAUGAGUGAAUUUUACUGCAUAAUGUCUCAGUCCUUCACCAGUCGUGUGUUUAUCAAAGUUACAUAUUUAGAUGUUUUUUUCUUAAUGAAAACAAUCCCUGUCUACCUUAAACGGGCUGAGAUGUAGCUCUUCACCACUACUUCCUUUAGAAUGUGCAGAUCUAUGUCUACAUCUACAACAUAUUUUGCCACUCUGCAGCUUGAGCACACCAGUGACUUUGCUCAAACACUGUCAAACUACUCUAGAUUUACCCUCAAGCUGUAAAACUGGAGUAAUUCAUCCAUUUGUGUUCUAACCGAUUCUGAAGGAUAAUAUUGCUUUAAAAAGUUUUUGGUUUUGUUACGUAUGAAACUCCAAAAGUCUGCAUCAAUGUUUUUGAGAGCGUCAAACAUACAACACAGUUUUAGGGUGAAGAUGAUCUGCCAAGAUGGUGACUGCUUUUAUUUGCACAUGAAAGCCAGUGUCUUCUAACAUAUUAACAAUCACCACAUGAACAAGUAACCAAGGUGAAAAAUGUAGUAAUCAUCGAAAGGGCUUUUAAUAAAGUCAAGAAGUCUGACUGUCAUCAUGACUCAUAAAAUCUUAAAAUAAAAUCAAUUUAAAAAAUAAUAAAUUCAAGCACUUCAGUUAAGCCUGGGUUAUGCAACAAGAGGCCAUUGAGUAACUGGAACUAUAGAGAAUAAAGUUGAAUUUGCUUGUCAAGAUAAGGUGAGUGAAGACUGAUUAAUUGAGUCUGAGAAUAUACCAUAGAACGCUCUAGAUAAUCAAUUUAUGCUGAAAACCAGAAAUACUGGAGUUUGAAUGUAUGUGAGACUAUUACACUGUCAGGCCAGCUCCUGCAGGCUUCAGAUAGGGCUCUUCCUUUCACCCGCCCUUUCUGUUCUUUCAGGUGUGCUCAGCACAGAGGCUGCAGCAGCAGGUUUCUUUCCACAAUCAGCAUCGGCAGAAGCGGGAGCAGGUGGAGCCAGGCCAAUCAGGAUUCACCUCCUGUACAAUAACACCUGACUCUUCUCAUCAUUUUGUGCUGGACCGUGAAGAAUCCAUAUCUGGAUUCUGCCUGUCCGUGCCCACCUGUUCCCGUCUUACCUGGCUCACCGAACCCCUGGCUGCUACGUUUCCCUCCGUCUUCAAUCCCUGGAACUCACCUGGUCUGUCUCCUCCAUCUUCUGGACGCCAUCCACCCCCAAAGCCUGCCACUGCAGCCUCCGGAGCAACAGCCCCCUACUCUGAGCUUCUUCAGCUUCCUCCCCACUCGACUGGACAAUCAGCUGGUUUCCUAUUCACUCCCAACCAUUGACUGUUCAAGGUAUCCUGUUGGUGAAAGGGGUGCUGUUACAUCAACCAACUUGUGCCUGCUAACUUUUAUUCAGUCCACCAGGCGGUUGCCUCUGCAGGGGACUGUGAAUUAUUGAUGCCGGGGCCACGAGGAAAGGCAGGAGAAACAGCAGGAAGAAGGAUAGAGGGAGAAAUGAGUGAAAGGAGAGACAGAAGAGUUCCGAGAGUUGGUCGAUGCUGAUGUGGAUGAACAGAUUAUGAGAUGGGAGGAGAGAAAGACAAGAGAAUAUCUAGAGAGACAGAGAAGGAGGUGGAAACAGUGGGAAGGAAGCGGACUGGAGAUUUCAGGUACAAUAAGCCUGACGGGAUCUCAGCUUUUUUAAAAACCAACACAGACAUGAGGAGUCAUACUGGGAGGCCUGAAGUAGUGAUGGAACUUCAGCAAUGAAGCCUGAACUUCCAAUAUCACAAAACUCUGGAGAAAAGAGUCAGUCUGAGCAGCUGCUUUAUUCAUCUCUUAUGUCUGAAUAUUAAGCCAUCAAAACACAUCAUAGCUAAUGAAAACAGAUACAAAGUAGUCUACCACAAACCAAGAGGAAUUAUGAUUACAUUAGAUGCUUCCACUCCUCAUGAUUUACAUCCAGUGUUCAGUGCCAAGAAGCUAAUGAGCCAUCUACUGUAUGUAUAUAGCAUGUGGAGGUGAAUGAGCAUGUUGAGAGAUAAACUUUCAUGGGAAUACCAGAAUUUAUACAUUUAAUAUAGAAGAAACAAAGCUAGACUACCUGAUAUCCUCCAGCAAGUACUUCUAGAGUCAAAAGGAUUUGACUCCAAAGGCUUCACCUCCUCUGGAUUUUAGUCUUGAUGCAUAAAUCAACAUAGGACGUCUACCAGAGGAUUUCAGGCUUCAUUCUGCUUCAAAAGAGGACAGCAUGUUGGUAAUAUGGACUCACAACACAACAGAUCAUCAAGAAGGCUCAAUAGAGAUUCUUCUUCCUAAGGAAGCUGAGGAACUUUGCAUUAUUCUCCAAACUCCUCAGCAACUGUUACAGAUGUACAGUGAAGAGUAUCCUGACCACUUCCAUCACCGUAUGGUAUGGGAACUGCAGCACUAAGGACAGGAAGGCUCUCCAGCAUGUCAUUAAGACAGUACAGUUCAUCUCACAAAAUGAGAAUUUCAUCACUCAGGGUAACCACUGUGUUUCUGCUGUGUAUAUGACAAGAAAGUUCUUGAAUCUUGAAUCCUGAAUAUAAUCGCGUUCUAACCCCAUAUGUGCUUUAAAUGUAGCAAUGAUUUCAGUUUAUUCUAAAUGUACGGGUCAUCGGGGUGUUAUGUAGAUGCUUUCAUUGGAUUUUGUAUGUAGUUUUGCAUGCAGCAACCCGGACCUGUUGAAGUUCAGAAUGUUUUGUUGACAUGGAAUUCAGAAAAUGGACUUAUACAGUGAAUUAUAAUACUCUGUCUGGGGUGUAACAACUGAAUGGAUGAAAGGCUCUUUGCAGACAAACAGUCUGAAGUUAAGUUAGUGAUUGGAGAUAAUGCUGAGAUUUCUACACUGUGUUUUAAUGUAGAGCAACAGAGAACCCAAGGGUGUGGAGAUGUGAUCAGUGGAGCAAAAGGCUCUGAUUUGUCUCAGUUUUAUAGAAGGAAGUACCGAAUAAGCCAGUUUGUAUUUUCUGUAAGAUGAUUGCAUGGCAUAAUUAUAUUGUGUUGUUGGAGUCUGAAGACAACUAGAUGUGGGAAUAAUUUGCAUAGAAAUGGACAUUAGUGGGAGGCUUUGGAUAGAUUAGUCUUGGAGACAGAAUAUAAAUGGAGGAUAAUAGUGGGUUAAGGACAAAGCCUUGAGGUGCUCCAUUAGUGUACUGGGUCGUGGAGAAUCUACAUUCACUAGUGGAUGCACAGACAUCUGUAAAAGAAAGAUAUGGACACUGUGCUCAGUAUCUUUAAUGCUGAAGAUGUUUCAUUGAAAUCAAGUCAUCAACGGUAUCACAAACUGCAGGAAGAUCUAACAAGCAAUAAAACAGGUGUUACCUUGGUUUAUAUACCCUUGUGUUUCUCCCCCUGAAGGUGUCAGUGCAACAGUUUGCCUGCCUUCCUGUUAACCUUCCUGCUUACCUGUUUAAGUUCCAACCUGUGUUCCUCAUGUGACUACCAGUUGUGUUUGGUUCCUUGUUCCCCUCCUGUGUUUGAUCAUCCUCCAGCAGUAUGAAAUCAUGGACCCAGCAGACCUGAACUUGACCCUCUUGACAGUGUCUUGACAGACACUGUGCUGAGACUGAACUCAGCUGCUGGAAGAUCCACAGACAUAGAGGCUUGUAGCCUAUACUUUAAUUGAGAGGGCAUUUACUGCCAAGCCCCAGGUUUCUGUGGUUCCGGUCAAGACUGGACUUUUUUCUACCACUUCUAGUGUCAAGAGGAACUUGCAGGCUCUCCUCCACUCCUGCAGUGGCUCUCAAGCUAAGUUGAGCUCACAGUCUGCUUACCUCCUGUUUCCUGCCUGACUGCCUCCUGUGCUUCCUGCAUCCAUUCUGCUCCCCUUGUCUUUGUGUUUUUUGGGAUUUUUGUUUCUGUGGAUUUGUUUUUUUGGUCACAGAUUUUGCCUCAGUCUCUCCCUGGAGCUUGAGCUGCCUUUAAUCUGUUCCCCUGCCUACCUUUGAUAACCUGUCAGAAAGAUUUCGAUCAAAGCUGGGUUUUUUUGUUGGUUGUUUAUUGUAAAAUAUCUAAGCAAUAUUGCAUUGCACUGAUAUUAAGAUAUCUAGAUUUUAAUGCAUCUAUGCAAUAAGGAGUUCAAAGCACAGGUAAUGGGUGUGGAAAUAGGUGCAGAGCUCUAUGCAGGUUGUAACUCGGACUAAAUGCGAUAUAUAGUUUUUACAGACAAGCCAGUAGAAUUGUAGGAAGGGUGAAAUUUCAUAUUGGCUGCUCCUCACUGCAAUAAAUGUUGAGUGUAAUUUGAGUGUAAUUCAACCGGGAAUAAAGGGAUGUGAAUUUCGAGGCAAAGUACAUCCAUUAACUGUUAAGAUCAGGAAAUACAAAUAUAUGUGAAGAUUGCCACAAAAUAGACUGUGGUUCUGUUAAGAGCAGCAAAUGAUUUACUAUCCAGCAUUGGACUGUUGAUCUGUCACAGUCAUGCUCCCUUAGGUUUUAUGGCUUUAACAAGUCUGUGAAAAUUACUUUCUUUCUUUCUUUACUUUCACCACCAGGUUAGCCUAUAGGUUUCCAAACGCUUACCUCCAUUUGGACUAAUUUUCAGUCCAGUAUUAUGCAUUAUUAUAGUAAACUCAAGCACACACAAUGUCUGUAUAUCUAAAGGGGAAAAUAGAUAAAUCUUCAAUGGGUAAAUAGUGCCUUGGUUUUUACAUCAGUUCCCAUACACACUAAGAUUGCGUGGAUAAAAGCAUCCAUUAAAUGGUUUUCUUCAUAUAAUAGCAAUUUCCCCUCAAAGCUGGAAGCCAGUGACUCUCCAUGUGACUCUCCAUAAUUGAAGAAAUCUAACCUGGGGCUCCUCUACUAGGAAUAAAUGUAGAUUUUUAAGGACACAUAAUGAGACCUUGGGUGAUUUUUAUGCGGAAAUGACCACAUUAUCUAACUCUUACUAUGAGAAUCACACCAUUAAAUAGUUCAUUUAAAAGAACAGAAAGCAAGGAAAGACAUCACCAUGGGAAGAUGGAAUUACAGGGCAUAAAAUUAGCAGUAAAUACAAAAAUCCACGAUAAUAAACUCCAAUCAAAAUAGACUUAAUUGAGAGUAACAGUAGAUUGCCCUUAAUUUAGUUUUUGUAUUGUCUUUUUUUAAAUUGAAGAAAACCACAACUAAUUAAAAUCAAAACAAUGUGAGUAGUAGAUAACAGCCUUAGACAAACAGACAUAUCUGUCAGACAGCAGCAGGAGCAAACACAAUCAAUAGCAAAAGACAAAUAAAAACAAACCAAGGCACCGUGCAGGGACAGAGAGAGCUGUUAGUGAAGUUAUUGAGCUGGAAACUAACCCUGUGUGUUGGAAGGAAUGUCUGACAUCAAGCCCUCAAGGGCAGACAAAACAGAUAAAAGUCGGACAAUAGCAGCGAGGGAUGCCACGCCACCUAAUCUGGUGACUCAUGCAAUAUGGGGCCAUCAACAAUGACUGUCAUGUGUGGGAGAGUAAUGGAGGUAAUUACUUUAAUUUUUGAGGUUGUUUUUGUCCUGGAUGGAGCAAUCGAUCACUAUCUAAGAACAUUUUAUAUUAACAAAAAGAUUUACCCUGAACUUCUGUUCGAGCGUUGGUGAUAUUCGUAAAAAGGGAGUACAACAGAUCUCAUGCACAACACAGACUGAAGAAUGGAGGGUAUGAAGAUGUGCUUUUAUACAGAAAGAGAAAAAAUGUUAUUUUCUGUAACAGUCGCUGUGAGGAGACACAGAGUGGACAGUUUGUUAACAUUGCAAUCAACUUUCAGAAUUGCUUGGGCAGUUUAUUUGGGACAGUUCAGAGAAGUUAGGAAUUAAGUUCGAUAUUUUUAAUCUCUCAAAACUCUUACCUGUUUAUGUUAUACAAGGACUUGUGAUUGUGUGGCCAUGACACUGGAGUGAUCAUACAUGUUCAAGCCAGAAAGUGAUUUUGAAGAAUAAUUACACCCAUCCUACAAGUGGACAGAACGACAUCAAAACACUGCUGUUUUAAAGUGUACAUGCACAGCCAUGGCACUGAUUGCUGAUUUAGCUGAUGAUGUGGCUUCCAUCUUGUUAAAAAACACCAUCUGGACAAGUUAAAAAUCUUGAUUUUCAGGUUUGUAACUCAGAUAUUAUACUUGUGUAAAAAUUGGCAGUGCCACAGUGUAAAAAUACAUGCAUUCAUAUUUUAUUCAAGUUAACUAUUUUCCCCAAAAUACGCUGAUCGAGUGGAGUGGAUGGAUUGGGCUUGUUCUGGCACAUCCCACUGACACCCAAUUAAACUGGGAUCUGGGGAUUUUGCAGGCUGAGUCAACAUGUUGACUUCUUUAGCAAGUCUUUGAGCCAUUCUUGAGGAGUUUUUGUGGUGCAUUGUCCAAGAUUUCCCCAACAGAACAUUACUUUGUAAGAAGAUGAUCACUGUUAUUCACACAAUGGAUUUAAUGUUGUAGCUCACUGAUAUAUUCUUCUCAGGAAAAAGUACAUACUAUAACAUUAUAUUUUUCUCAUAUAUUAUACAUUAAUGUUUUACUUUUUGUUUGGAGUGAUAAAGGCCAAAUAGGACUGGUUAAAGGAAACGAUAAACUAUAAACAGCAAAAUAUCCUUUAAAUCCUUGUGUAUCUGAUUCUCUUUGGUACACUUCAGAAAGCUUCCUGACAUGUUAUUAAUUGUAUGUAUCUUUUUUUUUUUUUAAAUCUGGAGUUUUUAAUUAAUACAGUUGCUUAGUUGUAUUUAUUUUUGUCUUUUUGGAAAUGGUAUUUGCAUUGAAGGUGUUAUGCAAAUACCCUUUCGGAUUUAUUGAUUUGUCGACUGCUGUUGUGCUGUGUUUCCAUUUAAGUUUCCAUUUAUAACCUGCACAUCCAGCAUGUACACACGGAGAAUCAAACAUGAGGCUGGGUUUUGCAUGUAUUUCAACUGUGUGUUGUGGCCCCUUCUCUCCUGAAAUGUAUCUGCUACAUGUAGUUCAGAAAUCUCCUAAAUGCAGAACACAUACAGGUAUGCUAAUCCAAUUUACUUUUGGAAUGGAAGUAGACAUGAAGGUGAACAGAAAAUCUGGCAAAUAAAGUGAAAAACACGACAAUAUAUACCACCAUUCAAAAGUUUGUGAUCACUUAGAAAUCUCCUUAUUUUGCCUUAUUUAUAAGUAUGAAAAUACUUUGACUUUAUCAAUCAGUGGAUGUUCUUACAAUUACUCGUUCAAAGCAACGUUAGGACUGUUCAGUCCGAGGAUCCACGAGGUCCUGGCUUCUGCUGACGUCUGACGUUACGGUGAGCGUAUUGCGUCACUUCCUGUUGUAGCGCUGUGUUGUGUUCUGUGACUGUUGUAGCUUAUCCACUCCAUCUAAUUUGAUAUUCAUUAAAUCUGCGUGUAGCGGUAAUAUUUGAAUCGUAACAUACACUCGUUUUCUUCAAGCACUUUCUCAGUACUUAAUUCUAAGUUAAUCUGUUAUCUCUGGUCAGCUAGCUUAGCACUUAGCCGUUAGCAUGGCUUCUCCCUCUUCCUCUCCUUCUCUUUCCUGCUCAGUGUGUCACAUGUUUAGUUACUCCUCUGCCCCCUUUAGUGAUAACGAUGCCUGUAAUAAAUGCAGUCUCUUUGUAGCUUUGGAGGCGAGGCUCUCUGAAUUGGAAGCGCGGCUCCGCACCAUGGAAAACACCCCGCUAGCUGUUAGCCAGGCCACCUUAGCCGCUGCGGACCGCAAUAGCAUAGCUUCUAGUGUAGCUUCUGCUAGCCGUCCCCUAGCAGCUCCCGAGCAGCCGGGAAGUCGGGGUAGCUGGGUGACAGUUCGUAGGAAACGUAGUCCUAAGCUCAAGCCCGCUGUCCCGGCACACCACAAACCGCUUCACGUUUCUAAUCGUUUUUCCCCACUCAACCACACAGCAUUGAUCUGCUCGUUAGCUUCCUCUCAGGCGAAUCACAUGCUGAGCACAAUGUUUCAAACUGCACAUUUAUCAGCGUUUGCUACAUGCAUUGUGCAGAUUUGUCAGCUACUUAACACAUGCUCAUGGAAAAAAAGCACAUAAAUACUGUGAAGUAUCUGUUCUGUGGCACUUUUAGCGCUCAAAUUACCAUUCAGUUAGGUGAGAAUUGAAACUGCCAAGUUGAGUUCCAG